AUUGAACGCUGGCGGCAGGCUUAACACAUGCAAGUCGAGCGGGGGAAGGUAGCUUGCUACCGGACCUAGCGGCGGACGGGUGAGUAAUGCUUAGGAAUCUGCCUAUUAGUGGGGGACAACAUCUCGAAAGGGAUGCUAAUACCGCAUACGUCCUACGGGAGAAAGCAGGGGAUCUUCGGACCGUGCGCUAAUAGAUAAGCCUAAGUCGGAUUAGCUAGUUGGUGGGGUAAAGGCCUACCAAGGCGACGAUCUGUAGCGGGUCUGAGAGGGUGAUCCGCCACACUGGGACUGAGACACGGCCCAGACUCCUACGGGAGGCAGCAGUGGGAAUAUUGGACAAUGGGGGGAACCCUGAUCCAGCCAUGCCGCGUGUGUGAAGAAGGCCUUAUGGUUGUAAAGCACUUUAAGCGAGGAGGAGGCUACUCUAGUUAAUACCUAGGGAUAGUGGACGUUACUCGCAGAAUAAGCACCGGCUAACUCUGUGCCAGCCGCCGCAGUAA
rnacentral:rRNA from 1 species